rnacentral:lncRNA from 1 species
GCAUUGGGGUGAACCACGAUACAUCUUUGUGUUCUUGAGUGUUUGUGUGAUUCACGGUCGGAUUUACAUUGGUCCAAGAUCCUCCGGAUUCUGUGCAUCAACAUUUGGCGUCGUUUGUGGGAAACGACACGAAAUGCUAUGUCGGUUCUCUUUCAUUUUUUUCAUCAAACUACAACUCUCUGCAAAGUACAAUUGUCCAAGAGCGGACUACUUGAGCGAUACCUGCUGUUUGUUUCCUGAUAAAAUAAGACAGGAAAUGAGAGUGAGAAUUAAAGAGUGGAACAAAUGGUUGUGGGUGGUUUCGCUGUUGAUGCACCUCUAGCCGUCACUGGCAUCGACGGGAAGAUAAUGGUUUCGGUGGUUAUUGAAGGAAAUUUUAUGAAAAACAUGUUCAUUUAAGUAACAUCUAUGGCAUGCAAUUAACAAUUAAAGGCAGAAUCAUGCUUGUAUGCACUCAAAAAUAAAACAUUACCCAUGAAAUUCAAAGCUUAGUAGUUAUGUGAACCAAGACUCAACUCAAGAACAAAGUGAGUUAAGAAAUUUUAUACCUUCGAAGCACCUCUAUGCUUAGCAAAGGUUAAUCACCCAUGUGAGGGCCUUCUUUCCUUUGUCACCUUACUCCUUGGCUCCAUGGAUGUGGAUGGAGGAACUU